rnacentral:rRNA from 1 species
UGGGGAAUAUUGGACAAUGGGCGAAAGCCUGAUCCAGCCAUGCCGCGUGUGUGAAGAAGGUCUUCGGAUUGUAAAGCACUUUAAGUUGGGAGAAAGGGUUGUUGCUUAAUACGUAACAACUUUGACGUUACCGACAGAAUAAGCACCGGCUAACUCUGUGCCAGCAGCCGCGGUAAUACAGAGGGUGCAAGCGUUAAUCGGAAUUACUGGGCGUAAAGCGCGCGUAGGUGGCUAAGUAAGAUGGGUGUGAAAUCCCCGGGCUCAACCUGGGAACUGCUUUCAUAACUGCUUAGCUAGAGUACGGUAGAGGGUAGUGGAAUUUCCUGUGUAGCGGUGAAAUGCGUAGAUAUAGGAAGGAACACCAGUGGCGAAGGCGGCUCUCUGG